GGGUUGUGAGGUUAAGCGACUAAGCGUACACGGUGGAUGCCCUGGCAGUCAGAGGCGAUGAAGGACGUGCUAAUCUGCGAUAAGCGUCGGUAAGGUGAUAUGAACCGUUAUAACCGGCGAUUUCCGAAUGGGGAAACCCAGUGUGUUUCGACACACUAUCAUUAACUGAAUCCAUAGGUUAAUGAGGCGAACCGGGGGAACUGAAACAUCUAAGUACCCCGAGGAAAAGAAAUCAACCGAGAUUCCCCCAGUAGCGGCGAGCGAACGGGGAGCAGCCCAGAGCCUGAAUCAGUGUGUGUGUUAGUGGAAGCGUCUGGAAAGGCGUGCGAUACAGGGUGACAGCCCCGUACACAAAAAUGCACAUGCUGUGAGCUCGAUGAGUAGGGCGGGACACGUGGUAUCCUGUCUGAAUAUGGGGGGACCAUCCUCCAAGGCUAAAUACUCCUGACUGACCGAUAGUGAACCAGUACCGUGAGGGAAAGGCGAAAAGAACCCCGGCGAGGGGAGUGAAAAAGAACCUGAAACCGUGUACGUACAAGCAGUGGGAGCACGCUUAGGCGUGUGACUGCGUACCUUUUGUAUAAUGGGUCAGCGACUUAUAUUCUGUAGCAAGGUUAACCGAAUAGGGGAGCCGAAGGGAAACCGAGUCUUAACUGGGCGUUAAGUUGCAGGGUAUAGACCCGAAACCCGGUGAUCUAGCCAUGGGCAGGUUGAAGGUUGGGUAACACUAACUGGAGGACCGAACCGACUAAUGUUGAAAAAUUAGCGGAUGACUUGUGGCUGGGGGUGAAAGGCCAAUCAAACCGGGAGAUAGCUGGUUCUCCCCGAAAGCUAUUUAGGUAGCGCCUCGUGAAUUCAUCUCCGGGGGUAGAGCACUGUUUCGGCAAGGGGGUCAUCCCGACUUACCAACCCGAUGCAAACUGCGAAUACCGGAGAAUGUUAUCACGGGAGACACACGGCGGGUGCUAACGUCCGUCGUGAAGAGGGAAACAACCCAGACCGCCAGCUAAGGUCCCAAAGUCAUGGUUAAGUGGGAAACGAUGUGGGAAGGCCCAGACAGCCAGGAUGUUGGCUUAGAAGCAGCCAUCAUUUAAAGAAAGCGUAAUAGCUCACUGGUCGAGUCGGCCUGCGCGGAAGAUGUAACGGGGCUAAACCAUGCACCGAAGCUGCGGCAGCGACGCUGAUGCGUUGUUGGGUAGGGGAGCGUUCUGUAAGCCUGCGAAGGUGUGCUGUGAGGCAUGCUGGAGGUAUCAGAAGUGCGAAUGCUGACAUAAGUAACGAUAAAGCGGGUGAAAAGCCCGCUCGCCGGAAGACCAAGGGUUCCUGUCCAACGUUAAUCGGGGCAGGGUGAGUCGACCCCUAAGGCGAGGCCGAAAGGCGUAGUCGAUGGGAAACAGGUUAAUAUUCCUGUACUUGGUGUUACUGCGAAGGGGGGACGGAGAAGGCUAUGUUGGCCGGGCGACGGUUGUCCCGGUUUAAGCGUGUAGGCUGGUUUUCCAGGCAAAUCCGGAAAAUCAAGGCUGAGGCGUGAUGACGAGGCACUACGGUGCUGAAGCAACAAAUGCCCUGCUUCCAGGAAAAGCCUCUAAGCAUCAGGUAACAUCAAAUCGUACCCCAAACCGACACAGGUGGUCAGGUAGAGAAUACCAAGGCGCUUGAGAGAACUCGGGUGAAGGAACUAGGCAAAAUGGUGCCGUAACUUCGGGAGAAGGCACGCUGAUAUGUAGGUGAAG
rnacentral:rRNA from 1 species